GGCCCCGUAGUUGAAGAACAACAGGGAUUUGCAGCGUCCUAGGUAAGCGGGUAGCUUCGGGGCUU
rnacentral:tRNA from 1 species